rnacentral:lncRNA from 1 species
GAAAUGAAGGUUGCUAAGGUGGUGGACGAGCUCCUCGCUCAACAGGGUAUAAUUUCGAGGCCUCUGAAGCUUGUUGUGGUUUUCUUUCUAGUUUAUUUUAGAUUAAAGAUUUGAUUUUCUUGAUGCUAAUAUUGAUAUGAGUUUUUGGGUAGUCAAGUAAUUGUGGAGAGGUAUUGGAUGCCUAGGUUUCUUUGCGAAGUUUGAGGUCAAUUAUUUGUGUAGAGCAUAAACUAUCAAGACUAUGAAAACUGCACCAUGCAAUUUAGAUACCAAUUAUUUUGGUAUAAUUUACUUUUCUUGAUGACUGGGCUUAUCUGCCUUUGUGUUGAGAUUCUGAUUAAGCUAUAUUUGAGAUAAAUACUCUUGCUAGGCUUUUCAGUUUUCGCACUAUCUGGUUGAAGUGCAUGUGAGAUGUUUUGCGAGUUUGUAAUCAUAUAUAUACUGCCUGAAGUUAAACCAUAUGUUUGCUAAUUGAAACUGCAAAUUAUUUUUUCCCCCUCUUUUUGACUUCUAAAUUUCAUCUCAUGGUUGUAUACGUUCUACUAUGAUUUUCUAAUUACUUACUGAAUUUUGAAUGGUUUAUUUUUAUCAACUUGCAGUUCCGACAGGAUAUUUUGUAUAAUGUUUGAUUGUAUUAAAGUGUUGUCCUUUAGUACUUUGAUGCUUUGGAGUUUAUAAAAUGUGGCAGCUUAUCAAAGUGAUUGAUUGACUAUUUAUUUUUUAUUCUGCUAAAGAAAGAGGAAACUAGAACUCACUUGCACUUAACACAUUGUGCUAGGAGUAAGCAAAGAUUCACUAGCCACUUACGCUUCUUAGUAGUUUUCAUGUCUCUCACCUACCAUAUAAUACUUUUAUGCUGUUCUCUUUUAGAGCCACCUGCGCCUUUUGCUUGUUGAUCACAUUUUGAAGCUAUAUAGCGUAGUUGUAAUUUUCUAUAUUCUUGUUUAUUCAACUUAAUUGUGUUCUUUUCCCUUAUUUUUGCUUUUCUUGUUAUAGGUGGGAAGCGCAUUGUUCCUGUUGGUCUUGGAGAUGAUGAUCAGUGCAUUGAGGAUGACUUCACUGCAUGGUAUAUGAACUAUUUCAAACUGGUUAAAAUUUUGACACAACUAAAUAUAUUUGAAGGUCUUUGUGUGGCCUUUUUUUAGAUAAAUUUUUUGCCUAGCUAUACCAAUAUUUUUAUUUUCAGGAAAGAGCUUCUAUGGCCAGAGUUAGAUCAGUUGCUCCGAGAUGAAGAUGCUGCUUCAGGAGCAUCAACUCCUUAUACUGCUGCUAUCCCUGAAUACCGGGUCGUAUUUAUCAACAGUGAAGAUGCUGCCCACUUGGAAAAGAGUUGGAGUCUUGCAAAUGGCCAUGUUGUUCAUGACAUCCAACAUCCAUGCAGGUAGGAGGAUGUUUAGCUGCUAAAGUUUGAUAGGAUAAAUGCACAUGUACCCUGCAAAUUGUUGUAUUUACUUAUGUAACCUUAAAAAUUUUGAAGUUUCAUAUAGUCACACAAAAUUUGAUUUCUUAGAUGUAUACUCCUAUAUUCACAAAUUGCCGUUUCUUAGAAGACUUUUUAUGCAAAUGAACGAAAUUGUUCUUGCCAUUGACAAUUUGACAUUUUAGUGGUGAUGUACUAACCUAACAUGUUUUACCUCUUAGGGCUAACGUGGCUGUUCGGCGGGAGCUUCAUACCCCAGCUUCUGAUCGGUCCUGCAUUCAUCUGGAGUUUGACAUUGCUGGCACCGGUCUUACGUAAGUAUUUCUGUUAUUUACAUGUCAUGAUUGCAUAUUAUUGUUCAUCAUUUGUUCCAAUUAAGACAUUAGCAUAAUUAUCCCUUUUGUCCUACAUAUACUUUUCUCUUGAUAUUCUUACCAUUGAGAAUUUGUUGCUCAAUGGCAGCAGCAUAUUAUUAUGCUUGGGGAGAAUGGGAAAUUUACUGAUCAAUCAUUAUAUCAACUCACUAUUGCGUCUUACUUUUUUUUUAUCUUUUUGAUUAUGAACCAGUUAAAGUGGUAUAUAUUUUAUUGUUGGGCUUUUGUAAGUAUCCCAUUUGCUCUUGUAGAAGAGUCUUUUUUUUUAAUCUAUGACUUGGCGAUGCUGUUUAGCCAAAAAUCAAUUGUAAUAGGAUGAUUAGGGUGAUUGUCUGCUAUCUAACACAAUGAGACAAUGAGUAAUUAGUUCACGCUGGUCUAGAACCAGUGGCAUAAGAUAUUCGACCUAUACCUGGUGCCUAAAUCUUGUUCAAUUUUUUUUUUUCAGUUAUUGCUUUGAUUAAGUAUGAAUCACUCUGUUCUACUUUUUGCUUAUCAUUUUAGCUUUUCCUUUAAUCAGGUAUGAAACAGGAGACCAUGUAGGUGUAUUCACAGAAAACUGCCUUGAGACAGUAGAGGAGGCAGAAAAGCUAUUAGGUUAUUCACCAGACACAUUUUUCUCCAUUCAUGCCGACAAAGAGGAUGGCACACCACUUGGCGGUGGUUCAUUGGGCCCUCCCUUCCCAUCUCCUUGCACUUUAAGGACUGCUCUUGCCCGAUAUGCUGAUCUUCUUAACUCACCAAAGAAGGUGAGUGUUUCCUUUGGUACCCAUACCCUAUAUUUUUAUAUUGUUACUUGCCAUUGUGCCAUAUUUGAGAAUGUUUAUUAAUUGAUCUUGAACAGAGUGCUCUAAUUGCAUUGGCGGCUUACGCAUCUGAUCCUAGUGAGGCAGAGCGGUUAAGAUUUUUGGCUUCUCCUGCUGGGAAGGUUGGUUUCACUUUCAAAGAAUUUCAUAUGAACUUAAAACUUUAUAGGGUCGUUUUCAUAAACCCCUGUGAAAUUGUCUGUUCACUUAUAUAGCUCUGCAAAAUCAGAAUUUUCGUAUUUUCCCUUCAAAAACUUGAUUUCUUACAGAAAACUUGCAAAUAUUCCCACUACCUUUUGAGCUUUUUCUAAUACAAAACCAAUAUCACCCAUUUAAAUAGGAUGCACCCAGCUUCUGAUUAGGGUAUUUUUGUAAAAAGAAUUGCAAUUUAAAUUCUCUUGCAGCUAUACCCUUUCUAUUUUAAGAAUAUUCACCCUAGUAAAUUUUCUUUUUCUAAUGCAAAACCAACUACCCUACUUGAAUAGGAUAAUUUUCAACUAUUUUUUCUGUUUUUUUUGUAGAAACUGCACUUUCAAGGGUAUGUAAAAUUUUAGAUCAUACAGAUGUUUAUAUGCAAGUUUACAGCGUUUGGUGUAUAUGUGUACAUUUCUCAAUAUUCUUUUUGUGAUGUCCAAAUUUUGUGGUACAGGAUGAAUAUUCUCAGUGGGUAGUUGGUAGUCAGAGGAGCCUUCUGGAAGUUAUGGCCGAGUUUCCUUCAGCAAAGCCUCCUCUGGGAGUUUUCUUUGCAGCUGUUGCUCCACGCCUGCAGCCUAGAUACUACUCAAUAUCUUCUUCACCCAGGUAAUUAUUGCAUUUUAUAAUCAAUUUACUACAUUUGAACUGAUCCUUUGUUGAUAUUUAUAUAUAUUGUGUAUAACUUUUUCCCAGAAUGGCACCAACAAGGAUUCAUGUGACAUGUGCUUUAGUGCAUGGCCCAACACCAACAGGAAGGAUUCACAAAGGAGUCUGCUCAACUUGGAUGAAGGUACCUAAACUUUUGUCCGAGACAUCUUUAUAUUUAGUGUCAAUCACAAAUUUUGACCCUGAAGCUUGAUCUGAAUAUCAAUUUCCUCCUCGAGUUUCAAUUUUUCACAAUUGAAACCCUGAAGUUUGAUUCCAAUUUUGAUCUAAUUCCUAAGAGUUCACGAGCUGAACAUUUUAGUUCUUGAAGUGUGACCAUGAUUUCUAUUUCAUUCUCGAAGUUCCAAUUUGACACUUACCAAAGUGUGAUGAUAGUGCCGGUACAGCAUCUUUUCUGGUUGUAUACUAGUAAACAGGGCUUUUUUUGCUAAACAAAUUUCAGAGUAACUUGUUAUUGUUGGCAUUAUAAGAUGAGAUUGAAAUUGGAGUCAAAUUUCGAGGACUUAUUUUGUAAUUAAAUAUUAUAUUUGUGUCACGUGUUUGGUGAUGAUUACCUUUCUAUUAUAUAGAGAUCCAUCAUUAUAACUUAUGUCUAUCAUCUAUUUCUUUUUACCAGAAUUCUGUUCCAUCGGAAGAGAGUAAUGAAUGCAGUUGGGCGCCUAUUUUCGUGAGACAAUCAAACUUCAAACUGCCCUCUGAUCCUUUAGUGCCGAUUAUUAUGAUCGGCCCAGGAACAGGUCUUGCACCUUUCAGGGGCUUCUUGCAGGUUUGUUGCAAGUUAUUGCAUUUUGGACACAUUUAUUUAUAUUUUUUAAUUAAGUUUUCCCAUUUACUUAUAUCUUGUUCUUGGUGUGUGCAGGAAAGGCUAGCUCUUAAAGAGUCGGGAGUGGAGCUUGGUCAUUCUGUUCUCUUCUUUGGAUGCAGAAACCGCAAGAUGGUAUGGAAAUAUUGUCAGUCCACCUAUUAGAGAAGAGAAGAUAGCUUAGUAGCACUAAGGGCAUGUUUUCCCAACAAUAGCUUCUCUAGAAGUGCUGUUUCUGUCUGAAGAAGCACAAAGUGCUCUUUCCUUUGAAAUCUCCUCUACAGCUUUUUACUGCUGCAGAAGCAGAAGCUUCAAACUGGUACCUCUGCUCUUGGGGCCCAAAAGCUCAUUUGAUCGUGUCUCAUCUCAGUAAAAGCUCAAGCAUAGUUUGUGGCUAAAUACUUGGCUUCUGCAUUCUGGAAACUGUUUUACAAGCCAGGCAAAACAAACACUAACUUGUACAAUUAUGUUCCACUGUUCCUAUAUUAUAACUGGUUGUAUUGAUGCAGGACUUCAUCUACGAGGAGGAACUGAGCAAAUUCGUUGAUGAGUGUGCACUUUCUGAGCUCAUUGUUGCUUUCUCUCGUGAGGGUCCAACCAAGGAAUAUGUGCAGCACAAAAUGGCUGAGAAGGUUGGUGAAUUGUUGCUGCAGUUAUUCUAUUUUGCUUCCGUUAUCGUUACUUAUAACGCUAAUUUUUAUCAUUUCAUCUGUUUGACUAUACUAUCUGCUUUUUCUGGUUGGCAGGCCCCAGAAAUCUGGAAAAUAAUUUCUCAGGGUGGUUAUAUUUAUGUAUGUGGCGAUGCUAAGGGCAUGGCUAGAGAUGUACACAGAAUCCUCCACACCAUAGUUCAAGAGCAGGUACAUGACUUGCUUAAAAUAUCAUUCCGAUUGGAUUUGAUUUUCUGAUUAUUCAUCCUUCUGGGUAUCAAAUCCAAAUGAUUUGUAUCGAACCUUUUACCUUCUCAUUUUCCAUUGUACCCAUAGAUAGCGAGAGUCUCUCUUUUUAUUACUGCAAAAUUCCAGUUCUACUCCAAGUCCUAUAAAUGUUGCGAUUCCACAUUACCCUCCUAAAAUAUUACAAAACCUGCAUUGUGUCCCAUCGACCAAUGGGCAGGCUGAUAUAUCCCAAUUAACAGUGACAAAAGGACAAACUGAUGUAAGUUUAUAGCCGAAGGGGGUAAUAUAUAGUUUUCAAUACUUCAGGUCAAUGAAGUGAUCUUAUAAUUAUAAUAGGACGCAAAUUUUUUCUUUUCUAUAUUUAAAGUUCUCUUCUCCUGAAAUAGUUUUCUUUGUUCCGCCAGUAUUUAUCUAAUCAAGUUCCUUAAUUUGAGUUUUCAGGGAUCCCUGGAUAGCUCGAAGACGGAGAGCAUGGUGAAAAGUUUGCAGAUGGAAGGGAGAUAUCUUAGGGAUGUGUGGUAAAACAGUGUUACCUUCAAUAGCUUCUACCUUUAAGAGUGAUAAAAACGUCGUUGCAUCAACACACUUUGCAGUAUCUUCUGAACGGCUACUAGUGAACCUCAGCAAGAGAAUAUGGGUGCUUUCAGGAGAAGCCUCCGAUAUAUUGGGCUGUUGCUUUUUUUAUUUAAAAGCUUUUUCAGAGUCUGCUUUUGUUGUCUUCAAUAUGUGAUUCUUUUGACUCCUAACUAGGAUUUAUUUCAUGUAUCAUACGGAGCAAUAUUUAAAUUAUCGGAAAUACAAGGACUGUUUUUAAGUAUAUGUUGAGUAAGUUGGUGUUCAACUGGUUUGCUUGUUUCCAUUUGGCGUAGCGAAUGAUCAGCGAAUGAUCGGAGUUAAUAUUUCAGAAUAUGGUUGGAUUGUUCUUUACAUCCUUGAUGUGUAGCAACUAUGUUGUUAGGAUUGCUCGAAAAAGCCUACUCACAUAAUCUUCUAAGUUUUGGUGUACUCAUUCAGUUUUACUCAAACAGUACUUUUGCUGAUGCCUAGGUCGGGCAAGGGCCUUUUUCUGUAGGCUUAUUCAACAAGCAUGCAAUCGAAAUAAAAGCUGAAAUAAAUUUUCAGAUCUCACUUAUGGACUAUGGAAAACUGAUCUAUUCGCAAGCAAUUCUGCUCUUGGAAACUAUACUACAAUUUCAAAGACUGAUGCAAGGGUAAACCACAACGACGCAUAGUUGGUUACGGGCGUAAUUGUGAAGAAGCUCAUUGAAGUUUAAUUUUGUUGCUCUAUUUAGUCAUUAAACUGUAAUUUCUAUUUCUCUACAUGAUCAUCCUGUGGUUCUUUGUUCGCGUUUUCAAACAGAGGGAUGUACCGAUCUCCGAAAAUUGAUCUAGUCAUAGCAUGGUGGCUCUUUCAACUAUAGCAUUAACUCCAGAGACUACAUCUAUCAACUGAAUCCUGCCACUAGAGAAAUUAGCCGAAGUGAUUUGAUUUAAAUAAAGAAUUAAAGAGUGAUUUAAUUGCUAAAAAAGAACAAAAAAUUGAAGAGCAAUGAUCUCCUUAAAAAAAAAAGAAAAAAAGAAAAAAAAAAAGGUCUAACCAAAUGUAUCUUUUUCGUCCAACCGUACCCCGAAUCUUAAAGGAUCCUAAGAGCGACCUUUUUCGUACCCAGUGACAAACUAGUUUUUCCAGAUGCACGCACCAAACAGAGGAGACUAAUAUAACUCGUCCCCGCGUAAAUUACCAGCCUCACAAUAGUCGUUAAGACAAAUUAACUCCAAACCUUCGAGAAACAAAUUACGCCACCAUCACUGUCAGUUUGUUACCCCUUCCUCUCUCUUUCCCUCCUCUCUCUCUCUCUCUCUCUCUCUCUCUCUCUCUCUCUCUCUCUAUUCUAGAAGCAAAGAAAAUUAGAUCCUCCUUUCUCUUUCCUGUGCCAUAAUAUCCCUACACGUAACGCAGCAAAACAUUAGUAUAAGAUCCCACUCUCCUCCAAAAUCCUCGCACCAUAUUCAUAAAUCAUUAACCCACACCGAGUUGGGGGGGAGAGCCCUAAUUACGUCCCCGUUUUUAACACCUCCCCAUGACCAUGCAUUCCCAUUCCAACGGCCAAGAUCUCCCCGAGCCCCCCUUCCAGUUCUGCCUCGCCGGCCCCUACUCUGCCGCCGCCGCGCUGGAGACCCAUCCCUUCCGCACCCCCCCACCGCCGCCUCCCGCGGCGAAGACGAAGAGCGCCUCCUCCGGCUAUCAGAGGCCGCCGCCUCGAGAUUCGCGCUCGUUCGAGUUCCGCCUCGCCGGCCCCUCCUCUGCCGCCGCCUCCGCCGCGGCGGAGACGCUUCCCCUUCGCACCCCUCCGCCGCCUCCUGCGGCGAAGACAAAGAGCGUCUCCUCGGCCUAUCAGAAGCUGCCGCCACAGAGGAUGCCGCCGCGGCUGGGGUGGAGGGCUCUUGUGUUCGGGCUGGUGAGGGUGCCGGCGGAGAUGGAGCUGCACGACAUCAGGAAACGCCAGAGGCGGCGGCAGCGGUGGAACUCUGCAGAGGAAUCGGCGGUGCCGCCGCGGCCAGAGUGCCGCGGAGUAGGGCAUGGGCCGUGGAAGCUGAUUCGAUCGCUGAGUUGCCGAGGGUUCGAGAGCACCGCCGUCAUCGCCUCGGCGGCGCCGUUGAGCUUCAUCUAGCACUUGGGAGGAGCGUGACUACGCUAGGAAUGUACAUACGAAGAAAUAAAAUUGUAGCUGAGCCUAUUUAUAUUACGAAUGUAUUACACGUAUUGGUCACUGCACUCAUUCACAAGUUCCAUUUAGAUUGCUGUACUUCAAUUUAACAGAAAGAUGAUGAUUUUUGAGAUGAUGUUAUCAUCACAGUAAUUUUUUUAAAAUAAGAUGUUAGCUGAUCCAUUGAUAUAAUAAAAGUAAUGUUAGAAUUAAAUUUUUGCCAAAAGAAACUCUUAGGUCUUGUUUGGUUGGGGAACUAUAUCUAAAGGUGGGAAUAAACUAUACCCACCCUUAGCAGGUUAUCUCCCAGGGGUGGAAUUCCUACCCCUUUUAUUAAAAAAAUUUUAAAAUUUUAAUUUAAUUUUAAAUUUAAAAAUUAUAGUUUGUAAUUUUAUAAUUAAAGUUUAUAAUUUUAAAUUUCAAAUUUUAUUUUUUAAAUUUCAAAUUUGAUAUUUAUAUUUUAAAAUUUAAAUUUGAUCUUAAAUUAAAAAUUUUAAAUUCAAAUUUUAAUUUUAAAUUUUAAAUUUUAAAUUUUAAAUUUUAAAUUUUAAAUUUUAAAUUUUAAAAGUUGAGAGUUUAAUUUCAGAUUUUAAAAUUUAAAAGUUAAAAUUUAAAAUUUAAAAAUAAAAAUAAAAAAUUUAAAAAUUUAAAUUCAAAUAUAAUGAGAGAUAAUAUUAUUUUACUAUCUAUAACUACUCACUAUCCUUCUUAUUUCAUCUUAUCUAACCAAACGCUAUUUUUUUUAUUCCUAUGAUUAAUCAAUUUUCAUCCAAACACAAAAUUGAUUUAAUCCCCGCUUAUACCUCAAUUUAUACUAUUCCUGGAAUAGCCACUUUUUGCUUAUCCCCGAACCAAACGAUACAUUAAAGUCUUGACAUUUAUAUCCAUAAAACACUUAGGUAAAUUGCACUAACAGUCUCUUAACUUUCGACAUUUGACACUUCAAACAAUUGAAAGUAUUUCACUUUAGUCCUUUAAGAAAAAAUUCCUUUAAAAAAAAAAAAAUCUGUUCAAUCGUUCGUAGGGCUGGCAAAUGAGCGAGCCGGCUCGCGUUCGACUCGCGUUCGACUCGAUAUUUGGCUCGCUCGAGCUCGACUCGAAAUUAAAUGAGCCGAGCUUGAACAAAAAAAAAGGCUCGAAAUUUAUUUCAAGCCGAGCUUGAGUAUUACUCGGCUCGUUCGAAUUAGGCUCGAAAAGCUCGAAAAGCUCGAAUAUAUAAUAUAGAACUAGGCUGGAAUACUAUUAAUAGCACCAAUGACUUGGUGCUAUUAAAUUUUCUACCCUUGGAUUAAAAAAUGUGUGGUUGGAAUGAUGCGGGCCCUCUAGGGUUGAGUGGGUGGUUAGUUAAAUAGUAUAAUCGAACGGUUAAAAAUGAUAAAAGAAGUAAAUCUAACGGCAGAAAACUUGAUAGCACCAAAUGUCUCGUACUAUCGAUAGUAUCCCAGCCGGACUCAUAUAUAUAUAUAUAUAUANUUCUAUACAAAUUAAACUAUUGAUCGUAUGAUGUUGAGAAUUUCAAGCAACUCGUUUAGGGCUCGAGCUCGCUCGACUCGAAAUUAGGCUCGCUCGAGCUCGGCUCGAAUUAAUUUCAAUCCAAGCUUGAGCUUAAAUUUAGGCUCAAAAUUAAUUUCAAGCCGAAUUUGAGCCGAGGUAAGCUCGCUCGAGCUCGGCUCGUUUCCACCCCUAAUCGUUCGCUACAAAUUAUCAACCAACCCUCCAUCCUUUGUAAGCAAUAUAAGAGGGUUUACUACAAGUGACCUAGGGGAUUCCUACCACCCAAUAUUAGCAAAACCAAAUGUAAUUUUUGAAAGAACAAGGACCAAAAUGAAACAUCCUAAAAAGGCUGGGACCCCUGUGCAAUAUAGCCAAAAAGUAAAAGAAUGAGCAGUGCAAGUCUAAAAACUACAAUAAACAGCAUACCUCACUCUCGUUAAGUUCAUGAAUUUCUUCAUCACACCAUCCAUGCGCAGAGCCAGAAAAAGAGAGCACAUCCAUCUCGUAUCGCAAGCAGAGAACAACAAAAUACCCACUUUUCCGAAGAACUGAGAUAAAACUACAGCAACAAUUUUUUUUCCCGCACUACUCAAUACUAAUGCUCAUGGUACUCUUCAGAGAGAAUUAUGUAGGAGGCAACAUAAGUUACAAUGCACUAGAAGUAAGUCAGUGAGACGAGAAUGGCGUACAACUAAAACAUUUGCAGCUCUUAAAAAAGAAACUUCAUUAUGCAGGAUGAGAAGUUCUUCAUCAUGAACUAUGCGACUGCUAAAUGCAACUGCCUCGUGCGUCAGUAAAAUAAGACAACGAAAUUAUAAGACCAUUAACUGCAAAUAGAGGGCAAUACAAGAUAAGCAACAAGAUGGAGAUGUUCAACAAAGAAAUUCAGCAGUUUCUAAAUUGUAAAGCGUCAUACAUUUCAUCUCUGGUAAUAGUCAAACUCCACUAUAGCAUCCUGUGGUUCAAAGUGCAGAGCUUUAUCACCCUGUGGUGGCUGUUUCAGUUUCUCAAAUUUGGGCAUGCGACGAACACAUGAUGGAUCAAACCUUUGCAAACUAGAAAAAUCAAUAAACUUUAAGCAAUUAAGCCUUCAUUUGCAGUGCUCUAGAUAAGUCGUAUGAUUGUCAUUAUGCUCAAUUCUAAUGGCAUUCCUAAGAGGGAACCCACGACAGCAGCUACAGAGUAAUAGAGUUUUACACCUCUCACAGGAGAUGUAUCACAAUUUGUCCCUUUCUAAAUUCAGCACCAGUUUUAGCGCGCAACUCAAAAUGAAAUGGCCUUAUAGUGCUUUACUGCGUAAGAAAAUCAAAUGCAACUCUCUUACAGAGUAAAAACGAUGUAGAAUCAUCACGCAGCAAUGCCAAAAUAAUUAGACCAUCGACAACAUUUCCCACAGAAGCUGCAUUAGGUAUAUCUUACAAUAUAGAGGGCAAAUCAUGUUAACUACUGAUCUCCACUCUACCUGAAACUAGCAUAUGCAUAACAUACUGAGCUAGUUAUAGUAAGCAAGAUAAUGGUUAUUUUCACACUAAACCGCCCAUAAAAAACAAAGGAAAAAUGAAGAGUAAAAAAAAAUUACAUUCCAUGUAGUCACAAAUCUGUGGACAAACAAGAGCUCGUAGAAUUAUGCAAAUAUUCCUAUCGACUCAGAGCACAGCAGCCACAUAUAAUCUAACCAAGCGAAAUUCGAGGAAAAAAAGAAAAGAAAAGAGAAAUCAUAUGCUCACCCGUACACUACGUACACUAGGAAUUGAAUGCCACAAAACUCAAGAAGUAAGUGCUUGCAAAGAAUCAACACUACCAGGUUAACCGUAAUACAAACAUGAAUCUAAUCAAUUACACAAGUAAACCCCACUAGCAUAGGUAUGGCUAACCUCAUUGAAGUGCGCGAUGCCAUCGGAAACCGGCCGGAGAGACACACCGGACAAAGUGUUCGCCCCCUUCGCAGCAAACUCUACCAUACCAACAACUUCAAGCUCGCCAUCUUGCGAGUCCUGAUCAACCGGCAUCCGUGCCCUGAGCCGGCCCGCAGGGCCUUUUAAAGGAAUGUCGGCAACGUGCCACCUCAGCUCCCUCUUUUCUCGAUUCAGAACAGCCUUUGGUGACACAUUGAGCAACGUAGGGUCGACGGGCAGCUUCAGAAUGAAGGUCACAUUGUUUAGCGGGGCGGGCAAUGCCGGGUUUGAAGCGUACUGGAUCAUUACUGAAAGCAAGGUUCCGCUGUGGCGCUUCACAAGACGAACCCUAAGGGGAAGAGGGGUGGACCUUGGCUGAAGACUAUACUUCAUAAUGGGGAUCGGCUCUUCUUUAGAUUGAGUUCUAACAUGGAACAGUCCAUUCUCUAAGCUGCUCACGCAAGAGCUCUGUAAAACGGCUCUUUUGAUACCUGAGGUGCCCUCGAGACGGAAGGAGAACUCUGUUUCCUUCCCUGCAGCUUUCUUCGGAGGCAGGGUUCUUAAAAAGAUGGUUCCUUUGAGCCCCACGCGCGCCAGGAGAGACUCCUUGAACUCGGCAUUGAUCUCUUCCGAGAUGUACAUCUCCGGGCCUGUCAUUUCUGCAGUCUUCGAUACUAGAAGGUUCUCCAGAGGAGUACCAGCGCCUGCUGCUGCAGCGGCCGCUGCAGCAGCGGCGGCGGGGCCCUGGCUCAUGGCGAGGAGCUCGAGGCCUGUGAGCUGGGGGUCUUUGGGUGCCUUCUUCUUGGUCGUCACGAAUUCUGAUGCAUCCAGGCCGCCGCCGAACGCGGUGUUGAACCCUUCGAACGCCUCGGAGAGCGAGGCCUCCUCACUGCCGAACUCGACGCCGCCGUACUCCCCUUCGAAGCCCUCGACGCCGAUGAAGGUGGGCUUCGUGGCUUCGGCCGGAGGGAGCGUCGUGACCUCGAGCCCCGCGAGCGCCGCGGUGGGGUCAGCGGCGGCGGAUGCCGGAUCCUUGCUCUUCUUGAAGCCCCCGACUAGGGCCUCCUCCGGCUUGUUGAUCAACUCGCUGGCGGCGAAAGGGUCCUUCUCCUCGGGGGGCUCGUCCGGCUGGUCCUUCUGCUGCGGCUGCUCAUCGGCGGGGGGGACGGAGGGGGCAAUGGCGGCGGCAAUCUCCUCCCCUGCGGCCAAGGUUUCCGGGGGGAGCUCGAAGAUCGCAUUGGAGAAGGCUUCGAGGGUGGCGCGGCGCUCGACGGCGAGGGACUCGGGGCCGCCGGCCCAGGAGUCGGCGCCGCGGACGCGGGACUCGGCGUCGGGCGCGGAGCUGACCAUCUUGGCGAUGCUCUCGCCGUGGAUGGAGGAGAGGAUGGCGGCGAGGCGCACGGAGCCGACGCCGCGGAGGACGAUGUCGAGGGCCAUGUAGACCUCCGGGUACUUGCGGUGGAGCUUCUCCGGGGUGACGUCGACGCCGCGGCACGCGGCGACGACGACGCUCACGGCCUGGUUCACGGUGUUGAUGCAGUCGAACACGUUGGUCGCGGCGCGCGCGUGGUCGUCGGCGGUGGUGACGCCGAGGACGUAGAUGGAGUUCACGAGGCGGUAGACGACGCGGUACUUGGACUCCACGCCCACCACGAGCUGGCCGCUGGAGGCCGCGAGGGGGUCGUCGCCGAGGGCGGAGUCGAGGUCGUCGGACGCGGGCGGCGCCGCGGCGGCGGAGGACUUGUGGGACGCCGCGGCGGCGGCGGCGGCGGCGGCGGCGGAGGAGGAGGAGGAGGAGAGGGCGAGGCGGGUUUGGCGGAAGGCGGAGAGGGCGGCGAGGGCGCGGGAGGGGGGGAACCACUCGCGCGUCUGGAGGAGGAUGUCGGUGCCGUUCGUGGGUUGGAGGGAGAGGGCGAGGCACGCCAUUGACGAGCUCCGCGGACGAGAUCUCUAGGGUUUGGAGAUCUAGGGCUUCACCUUGCGAUUCCUCUUCUCCUCUCCCCUGCGAUCGGGGAGUUAGGGUUCGGGGAGCUGAGGAAGAGGAGGAGAUCUAUGCUCCGAAUCCUCGAUUGGAUCGAGGGGUUAGGGUUCGGGGAGCCGAGGAGGGAGGAGGAGGAGGAGAUCUAGGGUCUCGCUCUCUCAGAUCUGCUAGAGAGGAGAGGGUAGAGAGAAAUGGGGCGUCGUCGAUCGCUGGGAAACGAGAAGAGAGAAGCGGGGAAAGUUUUUUUGUGGCGUAACCCCACAAGCAGUGAAUUGUAGACGGUGCCGAGUUUGCCUUUCAUUAGAAGUCGGCGACGGCAAUCAUCUGAGAGUGAAGACGUUGCCGUAUUCAUUGCUGAAUGUGAGCGCAUACCUGUUUAGCUUGCCAACCCCCCAAAAUAAAAGUGUGGACCAUCGAGGUAAAGUUUUUGGUUUUGAUAUCAAACAAAAAAGCAACUAAACAGUAUCAUGUCGCAUUAAAAAAGCUUGCUGAUUAUUGUGAAAAGAAACUAAACAAAAUCUUCCAUAAUGUUACAGUUUUGUAUUUGAACAAGUACGGUAGCUAAUGCUCCAACAUUUCCAGCCCCGAAGUACAUGAUGUUACAAUUGAAGAAAUAAUCCUUCUCUGUAGAUCUUUAUAGCCCAAUGCUAGCUUCAAGUCCCAACUUGCAUUAACCCUGCAAAUUUAAAUAUGUCAAGACCUAUAGAAAAGAUUAACGUGCAUUCAAAAAAUGACAAAUCACAGUGGUUAUUAACGGCUAUUUGGCUAUAGAUUGAAGCUGCUAAAAAGGUGCUUUUGAGUUGACCCCCCAACAACUUUCCACUACAGAGGAAGUAGAGGUUUCAAGUAGGAACUUAUGCUUUGGGUCUCAGAAGCACAUUUCAGCUUUCCGCUGCUACAAAAGCUUCAGACUUCUUAUUCUCAAAACAUCUGGUUAUUGCUUCGCAUAGUAGAGAACUUUGUUAGAGAAGAUAGACCAAACAGGCGUUAAGACAGUACCGAUCGAAAUCAUCCGAGUUGCCUAAUCCUUCCAGCAUGGGACUAAAGAUGGAUAAUACUGUUUCGAGCACCAUCCUAUCAUUCUCGCAUAUCUGAUGAGAAAAAAACAUGCCGAUUAGAGUCCAUUAAAUUAAAUUAAGUCAAGCAUUGAGCACACCAAAUAUCAAAUAUAGAAGUCUAAAUUGCACAAAGCCCACAAUAGAUAUAACUGAUUAUGCUGUCUUCUGAAACAUUGAAAACUACAUAUAUUACCCUUAAACUACAAAUUUUCAUUACUUCGCCGCCUCCAUCAGUAUUCCUUUCAGGUUGUAUUUGUGGCUUUGCUCACAUGUUAAUAAUGGGUGUAAAAUAUGGAAGAUUUCCUGGAGCGGAAGUGAAAAUCACAAUUUUUACACGAAAUUUCCUGCAUUUUAGCCUUUGGAAAUUACAUGGAUCUUCUCAGCUGUGUGACAUUCAGAGGGAAAAACUCACAUCUAUUCUAGAAAUCUCAGCAGGGGAUUCAGCAUUUUGACAAUUCAGAACAGCGCGGAGAUGGGUGAGCAACCGAGAAGGGAGGUCAUAUGUAUACGGCUGGUCAGAUUUGGAAAACCAUGUUCCGCGAACCAUAUGAGUUAUUUUACUUGUUUCUUCCAAUGUGCUGCUAUCAUUCUCCACAUUAGAAGUGUCAAAAUCUGCAAAAAAUAGCACAAAAAAUUGGUAAAAAAAUAUCCAAGGAAAAUAGCCAAUAAUAUAAUUUCCAUCCAUAAUGAUGCAUAAAUUAGAUUGCAAACUUCUAUGCUCUUCAGAAGCAGGAAACCAGGCAACUGAGAAAAAAAGAUAAGAAAAGAGGUCCAAGAACAUAAUGGAAAGGAUGCUUUGGAAGAGUCACAAAAUUGGCAACAAAAUAAGGAAACCACAUAAAGAAGUCAUUAUAGUUACACAUUUGAAGUGAUUGAAUGAUAAUUAGCUGAGAGGAAUAUCAGGAUAGGAUUUAUCCCUCAUCUUUUCAUGUAAUAAUCUAGCAUGCUUCCCAACAUUAAAAAUGGAAGAUUACCUAGAGGUAUAAUAUCAUAAGGGUUGUCCCCUUUUGGAAGGAAACCAUAAAAGGUGACAAGAUGUGAUCCAGACAGGCUUCCGUAGCUAAGAUAGCAUUGCUCCCCUGCCUCGCAUGGUCUUGACAAUGGGAACUUCAAUGAUUUUGUUACUGGGUCUACUCGUCCAUAGUGAAGAAUGUGAGGGCAUAACUGCAAAAGAAGAGUAACAAAAUGGAAACAUUGAAAGCUGAAACAAAAGAAUGAAAAAAGAGAAGGCCAAAUUGCAGAACCCAUUUAUAUUGUGAAUUUCACUUUGCCCCCCAGAAAUUCCUUUGAACUACAAGAUUUCAUCAGCUUGCCUCCUUCAUCAUUGUUCUGCUAGGUGCACUUCGCCCAUAGUUCAAUGGAAAAAUUAUAGGUUUCAAAUUUUAGAGGGGAGCAAUGUGAACACCGCAAUAUUUAUAGAGGGGUUUUUGUCACUUCUAACAAAGAAGUUCUAAGUUGACUUGGCAAACCGAGUGAUUAAGAAGCCCAGCAAUUGGAAUCAGGCAAGUCUUCAAUUUCCCAUCAGUUAGGACUACUUUCAUGCUGUUAGAAUACCAUAGUUCACAAGCCCACAGAUAUUUCUCCCAUGUGUAUAACUCUGGUUUGAAUAAAUCAGGAUACUUCAUGGAUAAAGCAGGGAAUAACGUAUCGUACUGUUGACGCAAGUGCUGAAAGAAGAACAAAAAACAUUCUUCAAAUUGAACCUCUGGAUGGCUCAAACUUGUUUUUUUGAUUUUGCAACUACAUGCCACUUUUUCAUCUUUGGGGUGAAAUAUCUUUUCUAUAGACUGGAAUACUCCUCUCCGGUACUUAAAAGUGCAUAAAAUUAUUACAAUGUCAAAUGAGGAUAUUCUAGUCAACCAAAAGAUGUUUCUUUAAAGCUGGAAGAAAGGAAAAAGUAUGCUGAAAAAACAAAUAGAAAAGAAAAAAAGAAACAAGUGGCCUGUUUAUGCAGAAAGCCUCAUCAAGGUAUAAAGGAAAAUAAUGGCACCUCUUUAGCUUGUGUUAGUUCUUCAAACAAAAGUGUUCCAUCUAAUACAGCAAGUGCAUCAAUUGCAAAACGCAACCCUGAAAACCAGUAGAUAAUAUUUAUUUUAUCUUUCAUUGGCAACUAUUCAUAUAAGGCUUGACAUAUAACAGUGUUUGCAGCAGUCACAAGAAUGGGUUGUAGUUUAGAUUCUGACAACUUUGAUUGCAGCCAUCACAAUACGACAGAAUAUUAACUUUCAACUGGAGUAAAAUAAAAGGAAAAACAUUCUUUUACCUAUUUUUUGGGGAUGCAUUAAUUCAAAGGCCUCACAAUGGUAUAAAGCUCAAUCAUGAUUAAAAAAAAAAGAUGCUUUCUUAUUGAUGUGUUUACAGUGUUUCUGCAAAUUCUGUGUUUAAACGCAAUACCUGUGUUAAAUUCUUCUGGAAGCGUUUCAAAGUAAAUCCUGAAUUUUGAACUGGGAUUAUACCUCUCUCUCAUGCUCCACAAUAGUAACAUUGUCUCAGAGGUAAUAUCAUCCAAGUCUUUUAAUACAUCAAACUACAGGCAUGACACAAUAUAAAAAGAUAAGCAGCAAAGUAGUAUAUCUGAAGUAUUUAUCAUCUAAUAGAUAGUACUGCUUGCUACGGAAGUUUCGAAAUGGCAAGCUAAGGAUCAAAGUGUAGUUAGCGAGAUGACGCAGUUCAUCGUUCAAUGGAGCACACCUUUUUUUUCAGUCAAUUUUUAUAGUUACAUCGUCCCAAUUACUGCUGUUAGCAUUAUCAUCUUAAAAUCAGUUGAAGAUUGUUGGAGUACCUGUUAAGUGUAACUCUUCCAUUGUUGAAUCAUCUUUGUUAUUGAAGAUUCAUUAACUUCUCAACUGGCCAAUGUUUUACUUGAUUUUAAUUUAAUUUUUAACUCUUUUAGAAAUAAAAUCAGAGGCAUAACUUGACCCAAAUAUGAAAUGACAGCAAAAUGCACAGAGCAUACCACAUCAGAUCCAUAGACAAGGUCUUCAGAUAUGAUAAGAGACUCUGGUACUUCCAGGGCAACGUCUCCAAUGCUUAAAUCUUCAGAAGCCACUGUUCCUCUCCCAGCUCCUUCAAAAACUAAACAAAGAAUCGCCUAUCAUACAAAAUUAUGCAAACUUUAAACUAAUUAUAAAAGUAGAAUUGAGAUUGCGGUUUAAGACAUUCUAACAACUCUCGCCCACAUAUUACUACUUAUAUCAGACAAAAGAGCCUUAAGAUAUUUCCCUUCAUAAUUAUCUUAAUAACCCAAUUUAACGUAAGAAACACAUAAGUGCCGCAUGCCUAAUGAAUCUGUCAAGGGGGGGUUCUCACGGUGCACGAAGAUUGUAACCCUGGAGCACUUAAGUGCAAAAAAUGAAACCACAAGGUAGCGUAGUGCAUAUGUGCUAAACCCGGAAGGAAUCCCUAAAACGAAGUACGCCGCAGAAGUGAAAUCACCAUUAAUUUUUGGUGUAGUAAAGUGUUACUAAGGCAAUAGAAUCCUAAAUUUUUUUUUUCAAAACUUGCACCCAACAUCUUAUGAGGUGCGAUUAGCAUAUAGAUUUAGACUUACAUGCUACCUUCAAUUUUGUUUUAACACCAUGACUUUCUCCCCAUUUCAGCAGCGAGUCCUCUGCAUCACCAUUGAAAUUCAUAGCAAUCAUUUCAACUUUGUUCUCCAUCCCCAAAGAUUUUAUCAUGCCAAUUGUUGCAGUCUCUAGCACUUGGAGAAGUUCUAUUGCAUCACCACUAGCAGUAGCAAGCACAGAGUGUAUGGUGUUCAGUACUGAAUUAAGGGAUUCCAGUUCAUUCCUUGAGCUGAACGGACCAAAAUCAUCGUCUUCAGCAAAAUAAAGCUCUAGCUGAGCAAUAAGAUGCACUCAAUUAGUGAUAUGUGAGUAAAUAAAAUCUACGAAAGAACUUACAAAUGCAUACUACCUCAUGCAUAUAUAGUAAUCUAGCAGUUUGGACCAUCUGAUCUAAUGUUUUCAGCAUCCCACUUUUGGAGGAUGAAACUGGAAAAUCAAAAUUGUAACUGAGAUUCCUGACAUUUGAUAAUCUCUGCAGUUAGAGCAAAAUGGUGAGUACCAGAAGAGAUAUUUAAUAUUAAGAAAAUGAGCAACUUAAGCAAUUUGCUUACAAUAGAAGCAAUAAAUGGAUACGCCAACUAUUUGAGAAUCCAGAUAAACUAGGCAUCCUAUUUUGUAUUAUAAACACAAAAAAAAACAACUAAAUGGGUCCAAAUUUUCAUAUUCUCUCAAAAAGAAAAUGUUAAUGAAGGUUUCCAAUUUUGAUCCAUGUAGCGCCUUUUUCAUGAUUAUCUGAAGAUACAUGAGAUGUAAGCUGCCUUCAAACUGGAUCUCACAGCAAUUCAUCAUUUUGACCAAUUAAAACUUAUUCAUUUGUUCCUUCCUCCUACUUGCGAGCUUGAUGAACAACCAAAACUUCGAAAACGGAUAGAAGCAAAUCCUUCAUAUCCCAUAAUUAAACUACUCACAUGAUUCCAACUUGCAAUCAUCACUACAUAUAAAAACAUGCAGUAUCUUACCUUAACAGUAGAACAUUUAAAACUUUAUAAAUUUUUUAUUUUACUAGCUAAGUUUCAGGUGCUUCUAAAAUAGGCAGCUGAACUUUCAAAUUUUUUAUUUUACUACAUAAUUCUAACUUUCUUGUGAAAUAUAACACGAAUUGAUGGAAUAAUAUGUUACUUGACGAAAUACUCAAAAUUUAAAUUUUUUAAAUUCAGGUGCUUAUUUCAAAAGAUUGUAAUAUUAGGUAUCUAUUUCAAAACGAACUAUAUGCUCUAUAGUUCAUUUAAGUUUCUAUACUUCCCCACCUACAAAAUUUAACACAAAAAAAAUGAAAAUUUUAAUUAGGGGAGUAGGUUACUGCGUUAUUUUUGCGGAAACAAAGUAAAACACCUUACCAUCUUCUCUGGGAACAAAGGAUCCUCUUCAGAGAGAAUUGGAAGUGAUAAAGUAACCACUCCACUCCUCUCCAUUUCCUUCUUCGUCGCCAUUCCUAACUCCUAUCAAUGAACGAAGUAACGAAGGAGAGCUACAUCAAAUCGAGCACGAUCGAAGUAAAGGAAACCCUAGAGUAAGCGAGGAUUUAGGGUUUAGGGUUUUACCUGGGCAGAGGGGAAGAGAGAAUAGGGAGUCGCCAUUGCAGUGAGGGAAAAAGCUCGGCAAUAAUGGGCUCGGCCGAUGCGGUUUAGGCCCGGCCCAAUUAAGGCCUGGUUCGCUAAAAAUAUGAGACUAAGUAGCCCAGCCCAAGCCCUAAAAUUAAAAUUAUAAUUUGUGGAAAUGUAUUCACUAGGUGUCAUAUUUAGGAAAUGGGUUUAAAAACUUAUAAUUUUUUUUUAAUGUAAUGCAUUUUAAAUGUUACAUUGGAGCCGAUGAUUUAGUCUUUUCUUUAUUUUAAAAUUUUCAAGUUCAAAUCAAUAAUUUCUUAAAUAAUAUUUACCUUGUGUAUACUAUGUUUAGUUCCUUAACUUUUUCACCCAAACUGUUUUAGUAAUAUCAUCAAGUUCUAGUUUUAAUGAAAUGUCCACAAACUUUUAUUUCGAAAAAAAAAAAAAAAAAAACUCCAUCAAAGUGCGAUUUUGAAAGGCCCAUAUGGAUGAUUAAAUUUGUUCAAACUUAUAUAAGUAAAUAGAUAAUUAUUUUUUAGUACAUUUGUAAAUUUUCCAACUAAAUAAAGUCAACAUAGCUCGUUCGAUCCGAAUAAUAUCAACUUGUUCUUUUUAAUGUCUCUAGAUACAUUAGCUAGAUGUAUCAAAUUAAGAAAUGUUAAUUUUGAUCAAUCAAAUGAUACCAAAUAAGUUGACCGAGCUUCUAAAAACAUGUUCUAUAUUCGUUAGAUCCAUAAAAAAUAUAUUUUAUACACUCAAUGUUUGUCACAAGCCGAUGGAGUAGUGAGAACUAUAUUUAUUUUCAUUAGAUCCAAAUAAAUGUAUAUUAUAUGCGUUAUUACAGCCAAACUUUAAUGAUUAAGAAAUUUUUUUUAACACUUUUUUCCCAGUAUAUUUUUUUAACAAAGCUAGUGAUCUUUUCAUAUAUAAUACUUGUUACAUCGCGAUCUUUGCAAAUGUUAAAGUAUGUAUCAUGCAUUUGAAUAAAAUACUAUAGCUAACCUAUCAUGUCGAGGUCUCGUACACAGAUUACCUAUUGUAUAGAUAACAUGUUGGACUUAGUUUAUGCAAUAAAUAAUUUUAUACGUACGGUACCAUGUCUAUUUCUUAAUGGAUCAUCUCUUGAAACAUGGAGCAAAUUUUUAAGUAUUUCAAGUUAAAAAUGGGCAUAAUUGGCCUCUAACUUAGUUUUUCUUUCCAACUUUUAUUAGUUCAUAGCUUUGUAGUUUUUUUUUUUUUUUUUUUUUGGGAAAAGAUAGCAUGCUAUUCGCUUUCAUUUAUUUCAUUUAGAAAUAAACAUAGCUGCAAAUGUGAAUCAACUAGGAUUCAAACUUGGGUCUCGAGUAUCAACCACCGAGGGCCUGUUUGUUUCGACGGAAGUUGGGUGGAAGUGGGACGGGGAAAGUGAUUUUCGGUGAAAACUAACCACUUCCGCUGUUUGGUUCACCGUAAGUUUAUUACGCCCGAAAGUUCAGUUCACCCAAACUAAGGAACUUGACUUCGCCCUCCCAUGGGGCGAAGUCAAUUUCGGUGAAGUGAAAAAAAGGCAAGAAUGGAUUAAUGUGUUAGGGUUACCUCUUCAUUUCAUCCAAAUAUAUUCAAUUGUGAAAAUAAUUAAAUUUUUUAUUUUGAUUGUAUGUCUAAAAUAUGAUCAAAUUUGAUUAGGUAAGCUUUAAUAUAUUUUUUGUUUAAUUUGUAUAUUUAGAAAAUGAUGAAAAAUAAAUUUGUUAAAUGUUAAUAAUUUUUUAACUUUAGAAUUUUAUUUGUUGCAUUAUUAUAAUUUAUAUGCAAACAAAUAAUAUAAUUUUUUAAAAUUUUAUUUUAUAAUUAUACAUAUAUAUAAUUAUAUACAUAUAUAAUUAUAUUAAUUUUUAUUUAUUAUAAUUUAUUAUUCACUAUAAGUUAUAAAAUAGACAAUAAUAUCACUUUGGAGGUAAGUAUACCGGGGGUGGAGAGCUCCACUUUUUACGUCAUCUACUUCCUACCAAACAAACAACAGAACUCGCAGAACUGCACUUCCACAGUUAAAAACAAACAGCAGAAGUGAACUAAUUUUCACCCCAACUCCACUUCAACCCAAAGUCCACUUCCACCCCAAGUCUACUUACGUUGAAACAAACAUGCCCCAGCUCUUUGCCACUUGCUUCAGGGACGGUCGGUGUAGAAUUAACUUCAGUAGCUUAGGAAUA